CUGAAGAGUUUGAUCCUGGCUCAGAUUGAACGCUGGCGGCAUGCCUUACACAUGCAAGUCGAACGGCAGCACGGAGCUUGCUCUGGUGGCGAGUGGCGAACGGGUGAGUAAUAUAUCGGAACGUACCCUAGAGUGGGGGAUAACGUAGCGAAAGUUACGCUAAUACCGCAUACGAUCUAAGGAUGAAAGUGGGGGAUCGCAAGACCUCAUGCUCGUGGAGCGGCCGAUAUCUGAUUAGCUAGUUGGUAGGGUAAAAGCCUACCAAGGCAUCGAUCAGUAGCUGGUCUGAGAGGACGACCAGCCACACUGGAACUGAGACACGGUCCAGACUCCUACGGGAGGCAGCAGUGGGGAAUUUUGGACAAUGGGCGAAAGCCUGAUCCAGCAAUGCCGCGUGAGUGAAGAAGGCCUUCGGGUUGUAAAGCUCUUUUGUCAGGGAAGAAACGGUGAGAGCUAAUAUCUCUUGCUAAUGACGGUACCUGAAGAAUAAGCACCGGCUAACUACGUGCCAGCAGCCGCGGUAAUACGUAGGGUGCAAGCGUUAAUCGGAAUUACUGGGCGUAAAGCGUGCGCAGGCGGUUUUGUAAGUCUGAUGUGAAAUCCCCGGGCUCAACCUGGGAAUUGCAUUGGAGACUGCAAGGCUAGAAUCUGGCAGAGGGGGGUAGAAUUCCACGUGUAGCAGUGAAAUGCGUAGAUAUGUGGAGGAACACCGAUGGCGAAGGCAGCCCCCUGGGUCAAGAUUGACGCUCAUGCACGAAAGCGUGGGGAGCAAACAGGAUUAGAUACCCUGGUAGUCCACGCCCUAAACGAUGUCUACUAGUUGUCGGGUCUUAAUUGACUUGGUAACGCAGCUAACGCGUGAAGUAGACCGCCUGGGGAGUACGGUCGCAAGAUUAAAACUCAAAGGAAUUGACGGGGACCCGCACAAGCGGUGGAUGAUGUGGAUUAAUUCGAUGCAACGCGAAAAACCUUACCUACCCUUGACAUGGCUGGAAUCC
rnacentral:rRNA from 1 species